rnacentral:sRNA from 1 species
GGUCUUUUGGAAAGCGAUGAGCUAGUCUGCGGACGCUGUAUACCCUCUUCCACUUCCCGCUGCAGCCAAUAAAGGCCGUUCCUACCAUAGUCAGUCUGUGUCCACGUUCUUUUUUCCGAGACUGCAGAGUUUGGGGAAGCUGUACGCCGCCUUUCGCUACGCGUAAUUUGCAGAUCUUCCCCUGGACCUCAGGCCUCUCUGGCUGGAGUAGGGUGGACGCUUCACAUAAGGUUCUCUGGUCGAACUUACCCGAACCUCCAGAUGGCCGCGCUGCGUCGAAUGCUCCACUUGCCGAGGCUGACGAUGGGGACGUGCCGCCCCUUUGCGGUGGCGAGAUAGACCAAGUGACACCCUCCAACCGUACCCACAGGCUCACUGGCUGAUAGUUGCCUGGCGGACCGCUGUCUCUGGGAUCGGCUGCAUGCCCAGCCUCGUUUGGGCACUGUCCCCACCUUCGACUGGUUCUUUGGAUACGAGGAAGUCCAGGGGCUCCUACUGCCAUUGCUGCAGGAGGCACAGGCUGCCAGUCCUCUGCGAGUGCUGGAUGUGGGCUGUGGGACUUCCAGCCUAUGUACAGGCCUCUACACCAAAUCUCCACACCCAGUGGAUGUGCUGGGGGUGGACUUUUCUCCUGUGGCUGUGGCCCACAUGAACAGCCUCCUGGAGGGUGGCCCAGGCCAAACACCUCUAUGCCCUGGGCACCCUGCCUCCAGCCUCCACUUCAUGCAUGCCGAUGCUCGGAACCUGGGGGCUGUGGCUUCUUCAGGCUCUUUCCAACUACUGCUGGACAAAGGCACCUGGGAUGCUGUUGCCCAGGGAGGUCUGCCUAGGGCUUACCAGCUGCUAUCAGAAUGCUUGAGGGUUCUAAACCCUCAGGGGACCCUGAUUCAGUUCUCAGAUGAGGACCCUGAUGUGCGACUGCCCUGCCUGGAACAAGGGUCCCGUGGCUGGACUGUGACUGUGCAGGAGCUAGGCCCGUUCAGGGGCAUCACCUACUUUGCUUACUUGAUUCAAGGCUCUCAUUAAAGACAUUUUAGUAGUCCUGACCCUAGUAUUUCAGUGGGCAAGGAGAGGGCUGAAGAACUGUCUUUGCAAGCUAUCUGGCUGCAAAGUGAGAAUUUGAGUCCUGGCUUCCACAUUUACUAGCUGGGUGCCAUAUUGCUGAAUGUUUCUGUUCCCCAGUUUACUCAUCUGCAGAGUGAGAAUAACUUGGAGUUACGGAGAUCACACACAAUGAUGUGCGCAAUAUUUAGCACAAGAUGAAUGCUGAAAAGAGAAGGUACAAGUGGGUCAUUCCCCAGUUUCAACUAACUGGAGCUCCUAAAAGCAGCAGACAGGAACUGAAUCAAAACCCCCGCGCUGACUGACUUGU